GCUGGGCACAAAUAAGGAUACAGUCAUUCUGCAUCAUUUUCUUAAAUUAUUAGGUGUUCUCUAAUGGGGCUGCGCUCUUACCCCAACUCAACAGUCCUUAUAAUUCUGCUGCUAGCUAAGAUGUAAGCAAUAACAGAUUAAAGCCUAGCAAAGACUAAACCACAGAUCCGAUGACACGGAGAGAUUUUAUAGCACCAAGGACUGUUUCCUAAGACACUUGAGGGGCCUGUAUCACUUUAAAGUAUUAUCUUGUAAACAAGACCAAAAAUAUUUAGUUGAUCUGUAUUUUGAGCAUAAAUAUUUAUAAAUUCUAUUAAAAAAACAACAAAUUAGCAUGACUAGAGCGACCAAUAUUGUAAAAUCUACGUAUAUUGAAAAAUAGAAAGAUAUAGAAAAGGCUUCCAUAAUGCAAUCAUGCAGAGGUAAACUGCUCCAUUCAGUUACACAAAAACGACUUUGUACAGUUAUGUACACGUAGCUCCAUGACAAGUCUAUUCAAGAAAGAAAAUUAAAAGAGAAUCUCUAAUUAACCAAUGUAUAAAAACUUAAAUGUAACUGACCAACUGAAUUUACCAACAAUUAAAAAAAAAAGCAAUGAUCUUAAGGAGAAAUCAACAUGACCUCUGAUCCCAAGGGCACAUUCCGUUCCUUUGCUUUACUGUUAAGUCAACAGCAGAUGAAAAAAAGCAAUGGCCAAACCAGUGAAGGUGACAGUGUGCAGCACUCACCUGUCAAUCAAAGAGUCCCUGGCAGUGUGGUCUCUUUAGACAAUGCUCUAAAUUAAGCAGCUACAACACUACUACUGUGAAGUCUUUUUUUAAAAAUGAAAAAAUAUCAACUAGUCUAAUUAAACAUUUAUGAAUACUUAAUGGCUAUCUGACAAUUUGCAAAAAAGAACCACAAAAAAAGUGGGCAUGUGGUGGGGCACAACCAAAAUGCCCUGUUGGCUAUCCAAAUUAUUAUUUAAAUGAUAAUUAUCUAAAAUACAUGCUUUUCCUUUAACCAUGCAUGUAUAAUCAGUGUGGAUCAAAACAAAUCAUUUAUAAAUGACUGAUGAGUCUGUUACUUUGUAUUACUUGUGAGGACAAUCACAA
rnacentral:lncRNA from 1 species